rnacentral:rRNA from 1 species
AUUGAACGCUGGCGGCAGGCCUAACACAUGCAAGUCGAGCGGAGCGGCGGACGGGUGAGUAAUGCCUAGGAAUCUGCCUGGUAGUGGGGGAUAACGUCCGGAAACGGGCGCUAAUACCGCAUACUAUCAGAUGAGCCUAGGUCGGAUUAGCUAGUUGGUGGGGUAAAGGCCUACCAAGGCGACGAUCCGUAACUGGUCUGAGAGGAUGAUCAGUCACACAGGGACUGAGAUAAGGCCGAGACUCCUACGGGGGGCAGCAGUGGGGGAUAUUGCACAAUGGGCGAAAGCCUGAUGCAGCGAGUCCGCGUGGGGGAUGAAGGCUGUCGGGUUGUAAACCUCUUUCGCUAUGGAACGGGUAGGUGAAGAAGAAGCGCCGGCUAACUACGUGCAAGCAGCCGCGGUAAUA